AAAAAAAAACUCUGCUCAGGGUUAUUUAUGUCAUCAAAGGGAAGAUGUGCAGCUGGGUGUGGAAAUGCAGGACAUUUUUGCUGCUGCAUGCCCACCUCUCAGGCAGACUGUGACUUGUGGGUCAGGGUCUCAGAUCAAGGAGAAGCUGAUGAAGUUGACUGAAAAUGCAGAUGACUCUCCACUGCCACGUUUCACAGAAGGCCACACUCCAGGAAUAUGGGAAUAUGCAGUGACUGCCUGAUAAAUGCAAGCAGGAGAGAAAUAUUAUAGAUGGAAACAUUUCAGUCCACUUAAAACUACAUGAAACUAAAUCACUGUUACAGUGGCAAUUGAAGCAGACAUUUCUAAUUAGCAGCAGCUUAAAACACAGCAAAGGU